rnacentral:rRNA from 1 species
GACGAACGCUGGCGGCGUGCUUAACACAUGCAAGUCGAACGGAAAGGCCCUGCUUUUGUGCGUUGCUCGAUUGGCGCACGGGUGAGUAACACGUGAGUAUCCUGCCCUUGACUUUGGGAUAACUUCAGGAAACUGCGGCUAUUAUCCGAUAUGAUCUCCUGCUGCAUGUUGGGGGUUGGUAAGUUUCGGCGGUUGGGGAUGGUCUCGAGGCUUAUCAGCUUGUUUGUGGGGUAGUUGCUUACCAAGGCUUUGACGGGUAGCCGGCCUGGGAGGUGGACCGGCGACAUGGGGACUGAGAUACGGACCAGACUCCUACGGGAGGCAGCAGUGGGGAACAUUGCACAAUGGGGGGAAGCCUGAUGCAGCGACGCCGGGUGCGGGAUGACGGCCUUCGGGUUGUAAACAGCUUUCGAAUGUGACGAAGCGUGAGUGACGGUAAUGGGUAAAGAAGCAACGGCUAACUACGUG